rnacentral:SRP_RNA from 1 species
GCCGGGUGUGGUGGCGGGUGCCUGUAAUCCCAGCUACUUGGGAGGCUGAGGCAGAAGAAUCACUUGAACCCAGGAGGCAGAGGUUGCAGUGAACCAAGAUUGUGUCACUGCACUCCAGCCUGGGCAACAUAGUGAGACUCCGUCUCAA